UCCUGCUUGUCCGAGUGGUCUAAGGAGUCAGACUUAAGAUCUGAUCCUCGAAAGAGGGCGCGAGUUCAAACCUCGCAGCAGGAA